UAGCCGUAAACGAUACUCGCUAGGUGUCGGCCACGGUGCGACCGUUGUCGGUGCCGUAGGGAAGCCGUGAAGCGAGCCACCUGGGAAGUACGGCCGCAAGGCUGAAACUUAAAGGAAUUGGCGGGGGGAGCACCACAACGGGUGGAGCUUGCGGUUUAAUUGGAUUCAACGCCGGAAAUCUUACCGGGACCGACAGCAACAUGAAGGCCAGGCUGAAGACUUUGCCGGAUUAGCUGAGAGGUGGUGCAUGGCGUAGUCGUGU
rnacentral:rRNA from 1 species